CUCCCCUGGGAGCUGUUCUGGGGCCGUUUGGCUUCAGCACCUUCCUCAGUGAUGUAGAGACUGGUGUAGACAGCACGUAUAACGUUUGCGGACGAUACCAAGCUGGAAGGGGGUGCAAGUGCUUUGCAGUAAGUUUCCCAUGACACCCUGUACAAUGCAGUGCUGUAGAUCCUGCAAGGGACUCAAGUGAAACCACGCAAGUUUGCGGAAACUGUGGAGCUGCUGAUCAGCCUGAAAAACUAUGACCCACAGAAGGACAAACAUUUCUGGCACAGUCAGGCUUGGCACCUCUCUGAUUCCACCCAGCCUUUGGCCUGCAACCUUCUCCCUCCAGGCACUUUGAAUGUACAUGUGGUUGGCAACACAUUGACUGCUUGAUACAAUAGCAGGAGGGUGCAGUGCUGAAUUGCCUGGGUAGUUCAUACACACACACACACACCC